rnacentral:misc_RNA from 1 species
UGAUAUUUUACCUUGAAAUCUCAACUAUCCUUGGAUACAUUUGAAUCAGAGCUUUGGGUUGAAAACCUGAACUACGCCAACUAGCUAAUGCAACAACAUUAUUAAGCAAGGAGAAUUUAUUGGCUCUUGGUGGUUCCUACCAUAUUUUGGGGACCCAGGUCCAUCCACCACAGAAACAGCUAAUGAAGACUUUUUCGUUAAAUAAGAAUAUAGGUCAUCUACCACAACCAUAUCUCCAUUGACAAGCAUGAGAAAAUGCACCCAACAAAAGGAAAACAACUAUAAUUCAAUAUUUUGUUACUGGAGCAAGUUUUCCAGGGAAUAGAACUGAAGAAAAUACUUCUUGAAAUCUUGAAAUGUUCCACAUUUCCAUAAGUUUGUAGCUGUUAUCUCAAGCAGCACUGGCAGUCGUUUUCCCAAUAGUCUUGAGGUCAAAGAUUUCAAUCCAAUAGCCAUCAGGAUCCUUAAUGAAAGCUAUUCCUUUCAUUUUUCCAUCAUCAGGUUUUUUUGCGAACUCCACCCCUAGAUGUUCAAAUCUCUCACAUGCCUUGUACACAUCAUCCACAGUAAUACCAAUAUGUCCAAAGCCACGAGGUUCUGAAUUUCCAUUGUGAUAUCCUUUGAAGUCAGGAUCACUUUCAGUACCCCAAUUAUGAGUUAAUUCAAUUGUAGCCUUCUGACCAAAGGUCCAAACUGUUCUUUCAACUGGGUCACUUGGAGCUGAUGCUGGAUCCUCAUAGCCCAUAAAGUACAAGCUAAACUUCAUGUCUGGCAAAUCCAACCUCUUAAGCAACGACAUGCCCAAUACGCGAGAAUAAAAAUCGAGACUUAUUUUUGGAUCCUUAAUUCGAUACAUGGUUUGUUGCAUGAAGUAUCCUUUGGUGGCUUCAUCGAGGGUAGUGUGGAGACCAGGAUUAUUGGCUGGCGAUUCCUUCGGCUCCGAUGCCAUUGAAAACAAUCUUAAUCGAUUUAGGUUCUUUGCGCUGGAAUGGUGAAGAAACGAUGGAAUUGAAGAUGAUUUAUUAAUGGCUAACCGAAAGGGAGCGAGGCGAGAUAAGGAAGUCGCUAGAGAAGAAGUAGCCAUUGAAGUGUAG